rnacentral:rRNA from 1 species
UACAGAGGGGGCAAGCGUUGUUCGGAAUUACUGGGCGUAAAGGGCGCGUAGGCGGCCUUCUAAGUCGAACGUGAAAUCCCCGGGCUCAACCCGGGAACUGCGUCCGAUACUGGAAGGCUUGAAUCCGGGAGAGGGAUGCGGAAUUCCAGGUGUAGCGGUGAAAUGCGUAGAUAUCGGGAGGAACAUCAGUGGCGAAGGCGGCCAUCUGGACUGACACUGACACUGAGACACGAAAGUGUGGGGAGCAAACAGG